rnacentral:rRNA from 1 species
AUACGGAGGAUCCGAGCGUUAUCCGGAUUUAUUGGGUUUAAAGGGUGCGCAGGCGGCCAUUUAAGUCAGCGGUUAAAUCGUGGGGCUCAACCCCAUUCUGCCGUUGAUACUGGGUGGCUUGAUUGCGGUCGAGGUUGGCGGAAUUCGUUGUGUAGCGGUGAAAUGCAUAGAUAUGACGAAGAACACCGAUUGCGUAGGCAGCUGACCAGACCGCAAAUGACGCUCAUGCACGAAAGUGCGGGGAUCGAACAGGAUUAGAUACCCUGGUAGUCCGCACAGUAAACGAUGAAUACUUGUUUUCGGCGAUAUAAUGUCGGAGGCAAAGCGAAAGCGAUAAGUAUUCCACCUGGGGUGUACGCCGGCAACGGUGAAACUCAAAGGAAUUGACGGGG